rnacentral:rRNA from 1 species
UACAGAGGUCCCAAGCGUUGUUCGGAUUCACUGGGCGUAAAGGGUGCGUAGGCGGUCAUUUAAGUCUGACGUGAAAUCUCCGGGCCUAACCCGGAAACUGCGUUGGAAACUAUCUGACUAGAGGAAUGGAGGGGAGAUUGGAAUACUUGGUGUAGCAGUGAAAUGCGUAGAUAUCAAGUGGAACACCAGUGGCGAAGGCGAAUCUCUGGACAUUUCCUGACGCUGAGGCACGAAAGCGUGGGGAGCAAACAGG